rnacentral:rRNA from 1 species
GAAUAUUGGACAAUGGGCGCAAGCCUGAUCCAGCCAUGCCGCGUGAGUGAUGAAGGCCCUAGGGUUGUAAAGCUCUUUCAGUGGGGACGAUAAUGACGGUACCCACAGAAGAAGCCCCGGCUAACUUCGUGCCAGCAGCCGCGGUAAUACGAAGGGGGCUAGCGUUGUUCGGAAUUACUGGGCGUAAAGCGCACGUAGGCGGAUAUUUAAGUCGGGGGUGAAAUCCCGGGGCUCAACCCCGGAACUGCCUUCGAUACUGGGUAUCUUGAGUGUGGUAGAGGUGAGUGGAAUUGCGAGUGUAGAGGUGAAAUUCGUAGAUAUUCGCAGGAACACCAGUGGCGAAGGCGGCUCACUGGACCACAACUGACGCUGAGGUGCGAAAGCGUGGGGAGCAAACAGG